rnacentral:rRNA from 1 species
UACGUAGGGGGCGAGCGUUGUCCGAAGUUACUGGGCGUAAAGCGCGCGUAGGCGGUCUCUUAAGUCCGGGGUGAAAGGUUCAGCGCUCAACGCGAACAGUGCCCUGGAGACUGGGGGACUUGAGUGUGGGAGGGGGCAGUGGAAUUCCUGGUGUAGCGGUGAAAUGCGUAGAUAUCAGGAGGAACACCGAUGGCGAAGGCAGCUGCCUGGCCUAACACUGACGCUGAGGUGCGAAAGCGUGGGGAGCGAACGGG